GACAGAGGCCUCAAGCGUUAGGCGGAAUCACUGGGCUUAAAAGCGUGUGUAGGCGGAUCGUUAAGUGUCUUGUGAAAUCCCCACGGCUCACCCGUGGAACUGCUGGGCAUACUGGCGAUCUUGGGCCAACUAGGGGCAACUGGAAUAAGCGGUGGAGCGGUGAAAUGCGUAGAUAAUCGCUUGGGAACGCCCAAAAGGGUGAAAAACAGGGUUGCUGGGG
rnacentral:rRNA from 1 species